ACAAAUACAUAAGCCAUCGACAAUGCCCUGGCUUCAUAACUGAAAUGAUGACAUGCUCGUGUUUCAAUGUCUGCAAUAAGGUCAAAUCCAAGGCUACAGCGGGUACUGAUAGACAAUGGCGCUAUGUUGUUUAUCCGCACCUGAUUGACGUGCUAGAAACAGGUGCUGAGAAACGACGCACAACAAAAGCUCUGGGGGAUGUUAUUGUCAAAAUCCCAUGUAACUCGAUGCCACAUUGGAAACAAUGAACUCUAGAGUAAUAACCACUAGCAUGAGGCCAGCUGAACAACGGGACUGCCAAACCAUAUGGAUUAUUAGCCACACUGACCUUACAAACUAUUAUCACCACCCACAACAAACCAGACACACCAUUGUUCCUCUUUAUCAUUAUAGGCUUACCUAAAAAAAAUGGUUCACUUCCUUAUAUAGUGUUGUGGGUGUUUCCAGUUUACACUACAGGGAAAUAUCAGAGUACUAUUUUAAAAAAAAAGAAAAAAAAACUAGCCCAACCAGUUGUCCCAAAUGCCAUGUCAGGAAUGUGGGAACGACUAUGGGGGAGGGGCUGGUUUAUACUGGAAAAAAGGGUGCUGUCUUUUCUGGAAAAUCUAGCUCAUGCUGUUAGCUGGGUUUCGGGAUACUAGUUGGUUUCUGGCUGGCAGAUCAUCAGGGGGAUGGUGGGAUCAGAUAGAUGAGUUCUGGGUCAUCGAGUGCCGCGGCAUAGCCCUGCAGAAAGCACACCAAAACAAACACAGCCAAAACCAUAAAAACAUUCUUGCCUUUACAGCUGAUGUAUGUUUUGAGAUUUACAUUGUUUUGAACACUGUUUGAUCUGUUUACUAGAAAAGGGUGACAAUGAUUUAAUUAAAACAACCUAAAAUUGUAUAUAAUUAAUAAAGCAUCUUUAGUAAUUGAUGUAUUAAAUGUGAAUGAAAGUCAGCAUGAAAGCUUGAAUCACUAUGUACAUAAAUAAUAUGAAUGACACCCUUUAAAAUGUGUAUCUUCAGCUGUGGUUAACUUACCUACAAUAAACUUUAUUUACUUGACAA